rnacentral:rRNA from 1 species
GACGAACGCUGGCGGCGUGCCUAAUACAUGCAAGUAGAACGCUGAAGGAGGAGCUUGCUUCUUCGGAUGAGUUGCGAACGGGUGAGUAACGCGUAGGUAACCUGCCUGGUAGCGGGGGAUAACUAUUGGAAACGAUAGCUAAUACCGCAUAACAGUAGAUGUUGCAUGACAUUUGCUUAAAAGGUGCAAUUGCAUCACUACCAGAUGGACCUGCGUUGUAUUAGCUAGUUGGUGGGGUAACGGCUCACCAAGGCGACGAUACAUAGCCGACCUGAGAGGGUGAUCGGCCACACUGGGACUGAGACACGGCCCAGACUCCUACGGGAGGCAGCAGUAGGGAAUCUUCGGCAAUGGACGGAAGUCUGACCGAGCAACGCCGCGUGAGUGAAGAAGGUUUUCGGAUCGUAAAGCUCUGUUGUAAGAGAAGAACGAGUGUGAGAGUGGAAAGUUCACACUGUGGCGGUAUCUUACCAGAAAGGGACGGCUAACUACGUGCCAGCAGCCGCGGUAAUACGUAGGUCUCGAGCGUUGUCCGGAUUUAUUGGGCGUAAAGCGAGCGCAGGCGGUUAGAUAAGUCUGAAGUUAAAGGCUGUGGCUUAACCAUAGUACGCUUUGGAAACUGUUUAACUUGAGUGCAAGAGGGGAGAGUGGAAUUCCAUGUGUAGCGGUGAAAUGCGUAGAUAUAUGGAGGAACACCGGUGGCGAAAGCGGCUCUCUGGCUUGUAACUGACGCUGAGGCUCGAAAGCGUGNGGAGCAAACAGG